GGACUCGCGGCUUAUCAGCUUGUUGGUGGGGUAGUGGCUUACCAAGGCUUUGACGGGUAGCCGGCCUGAGAGGGUGACCGGCCACAUUGGGACUGAGAUACGGCCCAGACUCCUACGGGAGGCAGCAGUGGGGAAUAUUGCACAAUGGGCGGAAGCCUGAUGCAGCAACGCCGCGUGCGGGAUGACGGCCUUCGGGUUGUAAACCGCUUUCGCCUGUGACGAAGCGUGAGUGACGGUAAUGGGUAAAGAAGCACCGGCUAACUACGUGCCAGCAGCCGCGGUGAUACGUAGGGUGCGAGCGUUGUCCGGAUUUAUUGGGCGUAAAGGGCUCGUAGGUGGUUGAUCGCGUCGGAAGUGUAAUCUUGGGGCUUAACCCUGAGCGUGCUUUCGAUACGGGUUGACUUGAGGAAGGUAGGGGAGAAUGGAAUUCCUGGUGGAGCGGUGGAAUGCGCAGAUAUCAGGAGGAACACCAGUGGCGAAGGCGGUUCUCUGGGCCUUUCCUGACGCUGAGGAGCGAAAGCGUGGGGAGCGAACAGGCUUAGAUACCCUGGUAGUCCACGCUGUAAACGGUGGGUACUAGGUGUGGGGUCCAUUCCACGGGUUCCGUGCCGUAGCUAACGCUUUAAGUACCCCGCCUGGGGAGUACGGCCGCAAGGCUAAAACUCAAAGGAAUUGACGGGGCCCCGCACAAGCGGCGGAGCAUGCGGAUUAAUUCGAUGCAACGCGUAGAACCUUACCUGGGUUUGACAUGGAUCGGGAGUGCUCAGAGAUGGGUGUGCCUCUUUUGGGGUCGGUUCACAGGUGGUGCAUGGCUGUCGUCAGCUCGUGUCGUGAGAUGUUGGGUUAAGUCCCGCAACGAGCGCAACCCUUGUUCACUGUUGCCAGCACGUUAUGGUGGGGACUCAGUGGAGACCGCCGGGGUCAACUCGGAGGAAGGUGGGGAUGACGUCAAGUCAUCAUGCCCCUUAUGUCCAGGGCUUCACGCAUGCUACAAUGGCUGGUACAGAGAGUGGCGAGCCUGUGAGGGUGAGCGAAUCUCGGAAAGCCGGUCUCAGUUCGGAUUGGGGUCUGCAACUCGACCUCAUGAAGUCGGAGUCGCUAGUAAUCGCAGAUCAGCAACGCUGCGGUGAAUACGUUCCCGGG
rnacentral:rRNA from 1 species